rnacentral:rRNA from 1 species
GGGACCGCACAAGCGGCGGAGCAUGUUGCUUAAUUCGAUGCAACGCGAAGAACCUUACCUAGGCUUGACAUGUACGGAAAAGCUACAGAGAUGUGGUGUCCUUCGGGGCCGUAAACAGGUGGUGCAUGGCUGUCGUCAGCUCGUGUCGUGAGAUGUUGGGUUAAGUCCCGCAACGAGCGCAACCCUUGUCCGAUGUUGCCAGCGGGUAAUGCCGGGAACUCGUCGGAGACUGCCGGGGUCAACUCGGAGGAAGGCGGGGAUGAGGUCAAGUCAUCAUGCCCCUUAUGUCUAGGGCUGCAAACGUGCUACAAUGGCUGGUACAACGAGUCGCAAAACCGUGAGGUCGAGCCAAUCUCUGAAAGCCAGUCUCAGUUCGGAUCGAAGUCUGCAACUCGACUUCGUGAAGUUGGAGUCGCUAGUAAUCCCGGAUCAGCAUUGCCGGGGUGAAUACGUUCCCGGUCCUU